AAUUUUGUAGGUUACAUUCAAAUGUUUUAUUUGUGAAUACGCUGUUUGGGAAAACAAAUUUUCUGUUUGGGACUGGCAGAGAAAAAAGAGAAACAGAUGCUCCUGAGGUACUUGGUUUAGAAAGAAGCUUUAAAUAAGCUGCACAUUUGCAUGGUUCAGAUUAAAGUGUUUUCAGUGUGGGAAAAUACUUGAUGUACUGAGCUACAUCACACACUGAGGUUUCUGUGGUUAUUUUGCAGCUGAGUGCCAGAAAUAUCAAUCAGAGGAUCUAAUGUCUUCUAAUCUGUGUAACUGUGGUUUAACAACAACAUCACAUCAGUUUGAGACUGCAGGUGGAACAAAUACCUGCAGCCUUCAGACGACUGCAGAGACCUGCAACUAUUAAGAAGUAACCUUCACGUUAGCUUUCUAACUUUUGUGGAUUACAGAACUGAGAGAACACAUUUUGAGUCUCAGCCAUGUGGACACAACAGAGAAACUUCUUCUAUUUGACCAUCGUCUCGUAUCUGUUUGCAUCUUCAGCAUCUGCAGGUCAGUCAUGAACAGCAUCAGACUCACAAAUGUUUUGCCAACCACCAGAUAAAACAGUUUUGCUACAUUAAAUUACAUUAAAUCCACGUUUUCCCUCUUUUGUUCUUUUGAUACAUGCAAUGCUUUAUUUUUAUCUAUUCUUUUAUUAGAUUAGAUCUUUUAUUAGUUUCUUUGAAUAAGUGAAUGAAUUGUUUAAAAUAUAAACCAACAGUACUAAUGAUCAUUUGAAAAUUUGUUUUAAUAGGUACACAUUAACCUAUAUGUGUGUGUGUGUGUGUGUGUGUGUGUGUGUGUGUGUUCAAGGAAUGAAGGAUUGCUUUAAAAGCAGCAUUUUGCAUUUUAAUGUAGAUGAAAUAAUUAUAAACUAAGAAACUUUGUUUGGAUCAGAACUCAUAGGAAAAAAACGAACUCUGCACUAUCCGUUGUACAGCAGCAGUGUGUGACCAUGUUAUUCCGUAUUAUUAUCGUUUUUAUGUACAUAGAAAUAUUUUUUACUUAGUAUGAAAAUCAAAUGUAAAAAACAUUUAAUGAAAACUUAAACUUACUACAAUAACUCUUUUCAGGAUUAUCCAUGUCAACUGGAAAAGUAAAAUGUAAAACAAUUGUAGCACAUUUAUUUGGUUUAUAAUAUUAGGCCAUAUUUAUCUGUUUGCAAGUCAUUUAGCUCCUAUUUUAGCACCAUCACAUUGCACAAUAAUGACUGCCAUGUAUUUUUACAAGCUUCUAUCAUGAAUCAUGUUUUAAUAGUGUUGAAAUUAAACUUAUUGCUACAUUUCAGAGAGCAUCUUAUUUUGAAGGUUUCAGGCAAUGCAGUCUACAGUUAUUCAAUCUCUUUUUACAUUGAAUUAAAAAUCAUAUUUUUAAUAAAUCAAGGAUUUUGAAAUAAUUAAGUUUUAAAAUAGUUUCUGUAACAUUUAGAUUAUGUUGCCAGUAAUUUAGUUUUUUUAAAGCUCAAAGACAUUUUUCUUCGUGAAAUAUGAAUGCUGCACACUGCGGCUGUUUUAUAUUUUUUUGUUAUAUUUUUUUUAUUGUCUUCUUUUUUUUCUUUUUAUAAGUGAAUUUGCUUAUUUAUCACAUUUUUGCCACAUGCAUUAGUUGUGGGUUUCAGUUAUCAAUUUCAGAUUAAAAUCGAAUUUAGCUUGAAUAAUGCGAU